rnacentral:rRNA from 1 species
UGGGGAAUAUUGCGCAAUGGGGGAACCCGUGACGCAGCGACGCCGCGUGAGUGAAGAAGGCUUUCGGGUCGUAAAGCUCUUAUCUGCGGGAAGAAGAGACGGUACCGCAGGAGAAAGCCCCGGCUAACUACGUGCCAGCAGCCGCGGUAAUACGUAGGGGGCAAGCGUUGUCCGGAGUAACUGGGCGUAAAGGGCGCGUAGGCGGAAUAAUAAGUCAGUUGUGAAAGAUAUGGGCUCAACUCAUAGAACGCAUCUGAAACUGUUAAAUCUGGAGUAUAGGAGAGGGAAACGGAAUUCCUGGUGUAGCGGUGAAAUGCGUAGAGAUCAGGAAGAACAUCAGUGGCGAAGGCGGUUUCCUGGCCUAAAACUGACGCUGAAGCGCGAAAGCAUGGGUAGCGAACAGGAUUAGAUACCCUGGUAGUCCACGCUGUAAACGAUGUCGAUUUUGGAGGUUGUGCCCUUGAGGCGUGGCUUCCGGAGCUAACGCGUUAAAUCGACCGCCUGGGGAGUACGGCCGCAAGG